rnacentral:rRNA from 1 species
UACGUAGGUGGCAAGCGUUGUCCGGAAUUACUGGGUGUAAAGCGCGUGUAGGCGGGAGGCCAAGUCUGCUGUGAAAUCGCCCGGCUCAACUGGGCGGGGUCGGUGGAAACUGGUCACCUGGAGGACGGUAGAGGCGAGUGGAAUUCCCGGUGUAGUGGUGAAAUGCGUAGAGAUCGGGAGGAACACCAGUGGCGAAGGCGGCUCGCUGGGCCGGCCCUGACGCUGAGACGCGAAGGCGUGGGGAGCGAACGGGAUUGAGAAACCCC